rnacentral:rRNA from 1 species
CAGCAGCCGCGGUAAAACGAGGGGGGCAAGCGUUGUUCGGAAUUAUUGGGCGUAAGGGCUCGCAGGCGGUUUCUUAAGUCUGAUGUGAAAGCCCCCGGCUCAACCGGGGAGGGUCAUUGGAAACUGGGAAACUUGAGUGCAGAAGAGGAGAGUGGAAUUCCACGUGUAGCGGUGAAAUGCGUAGAGAUGUGGAGGAACACCAGUGGCGAAGGCGACUCUCUGGUCUGUAACUGACGCUGAGGAGCGAAAGCGUGGGGAGCGAACAGGAUUAGAUACCCGAGUAGUCCCUGUCUCUUAUACA